CCGGGUGCAGGAGGAGUGAAGGCAGCUGGGGGGCAGGCUAACGGGAUAGGCGGGCUCGGAGGGGGGGGCCGGGCAGAGGCAGAGCGGGAGCGAGCAGGAGGCAGGAGUCAUACAUGGUGAUGGCAGCGCGGGCUGGCUCUGGGCAGCGGAAAGCAGAGAAAGAAAGAAACCCCAAAGCUCCAACUUUGCUUCGGUGGCCAAAGCCUCCCACCAUCCAGAGUACGGGCGCGUCGCCACGUGAUCAACCGCCCGCGGCACCGGGUGCAGGACCGAGGUGGACUUCCCGGCACCCCGCCCACCUUCCGGGGGCUGCAUCCCUCUAGGAUUCCCUGCUGCCCCGGAAGUAAGUCGGAGGGGGCGGGCAGGGCCGCUGCAGGGGAGGGGCAGGAGGCAGCCCGGAGAGGCUUUCUCCAGGGUCCUAAGGGGCUGGCGUGGGAGGGCAGGGUGAGGCGGAAGGGCCCCAGCGGGCGGGCCCCCAACAAUUCCGCAGGCCUCUGUCCUGGAGGGGGAGGCCUGGGGAUGCAGACGGCGAACGGUGGGACGGGCUCGAAGUCCCAGACGACUGAAGGUCAGCUUUGCCCAGCACUGGAUUCGCCUCCUGCAGGAAGCUCUUGGCCCCCGCUUGCAACCCAGGUAGGGUGGACCGGCAGGGGCCAGCAGCCGAGAGCAUCGCACAGCACGGACGAGCCGGGGCAGCUUCCGAGAGGUGGGGGACGCAGCCGGAGGACACACAGGUGUCCGGACCCGCUGCUGAGCCCUCCAGCCCUGCAUGAGGUGCCACACAAAGGAACUCGUGGGCGUGACCCUGCCUUCCAGGAAAGCAGGGAGGGACAUACACCUUGACAACAGGCAGACCACACAAUCCAGGAUGACCGGUCCAGGGUGUUCUCAGAACCUGGGCCGGGGUUCAGUCCCUGGGCACUCACUCAGCCUGCCAAGUACAGGGGGCCCCAGGGAGCCAUUGCUUUAACUGCCGCUUGGCGGGGAGCCAGGACCCGGGAACCACAGGAGCGGAAGGGGAGGGGCUUGGUGGGCGGGGCUCUGGGGGGAGUGGACCCUCCACCAGGCCUGUCCGCCUUACCAUCCCGUGCCUUCCCCGACCAGAAUACAGACACGACUGUCUCCCCACCACCCCUCCUCCCCACCUCUGAACUUCUCAAGCCUGAGGGUGCCCUGGCUGGGCAGGUGCAAACCCGCCACCUGCUCCUCCAGCGAGAGGCCUCCAAGGGCCUGGCUGCUGAAGCCACACCUUUUGCAGCUGCACGUCCCCCUGCAGGAGCGGCCCCUUGAAACUCUGGAAGGAUGGUGCCUGUCCCCCUGGGGACACAUGUGGCCCCCGACGCCUGCCUCUGCCCGGCUCCAAGGUGACCCUGUCCCGCUCUCCCCUCUCACGGCCUCACCAUGGGCCGGCUCCGCCCGCCUGGCAGGCGACCCCGACACCUUCAGCUGGACCCUCCAGCUGUCCCCCAGGCCGGGGAACUUGUUAGGGGCAGUGUGGCUGGCCGGCCACUGGUUGCCUCCCUCCCUACUGACCGUGGUGGGCGAGGGAAGGCAUUAGCGUCACGCAGAGCUCAGCUCAGAUCCUGGCUUUGCUCUGGCCCCAAGGUCGCUCUGACCUUCAGAGCCUCAGGGUCCCGCUCUGCAGAAUGGGAAUAAUAGCAAGGCACGCCUUGAGGACUUCACGAGGAGUCAGCAAAGCAAUCCAUCUGAGCCCAGCGGUUCCUGACGACUUGCUCAUGGCUGCCUGUCUUGGCCCCGUGCUGUGUGGCUACGCCGUCCUGCUCACCCUGAAAACGCCCGACUCCUUAGUCUCUGAUCUGAAGAAAGGCAGCUUGAAUUCCUCUCUCCUGCAUUAGUUCAGUAGCUAAACAGCCCCCGGUCCCCUGCCCGUCAUGACCCCAUCUCACCUUCAUUCACACACAGACCUGGGUUUGAAUCCCAACCUGGGCAUUCACCAGCUUAGCUUCUCAGAGCCUCAGUUUCCCUACCUGCAAUGUGGGAGCAGUAAUUCCUGCCUUGCAAGGACUCUGAGAGCAAGUGAGGGCAGUCCCCCUGCCCUCACAACAGGGGAAGGUGCCCUUGUCAGCAUCCCCACGUGCCGAACCCCCCAGGAGACAGUGACCUCUUUCUGGGGUUACCCAGCACGGGGCCACGUGAAAUGGAGCAAAAUGGGCAUGAACGCAGGCGUGCAAAACUGGGGUGGCAGUGGCCGAAGGAAGACCGCAGGGUUUCGAGUGAAGAGGUCUCCGGGACGGUCCCCAGAGGGCAGGGCGGCUCAGCAUUGUGGAGGGCCUACUGCACGCAGCUGGCUCCGCCCAGGAUGGGAAAGGCAGUUCCGGGCUCUUAGAAACCUACAAUCUGGGUAGCAGUCCUUGAGAAGCGAUGGGAAACUCCAACACGAGAGUCAUUCCCUUAAAACAGGAGCAAAUGUCCAGUUUUGUCCGAAUGGCCCGACCACCCGCAUGGGAUGAGAAUGGGAAAUCCCACAGUCCAGACCUCAGGGCAGGUCCUUCCCCAGGUGAGAAUCUCCCAGGGGGCUCUUUUGGCUGCUUUAUGAACCUAAAAACCGUCUCAGGACGGCAGCCGCGGCAUCUGGAAGACGUGGCUUCUGUGUGCUGCCGCCAGAGAUGUGCCGAAGCCCCGAGAACCAGAGGCCGCCUGAACCUCCGCCCCAGGCCAGCCCUGGUCCCGCCCGAGCAGAUCUGCCCUCCAGAUGCAGCCCCAACGCGCGAGAUCUGACUUCACUGGGGCAGGACCUCGACACGUGCACGGUCCCCGUGCUGCUCCCCGCGCUGUGCACGCAGACGUCACCACCACCUGGUCCCUGGGGACGGGGCCUAGGGACGCAAACAGCCCAACCCCAAAGUGAUCACGCCCACCUUGCUUUGCAUCUUCCCCCUGCCUUGGACCCCAAUCGCAGCCCAGCCUCACGGCCGAGUCUCCUCCAUAUGCUCAGUUUCACUCCCCUGAAACGCCCUCCACUUGGCCUUAUCAUUUACCCACGUCCUCGCAGUACCUCACUUCCUUCUGUUCCACGUUCCCUUUGCCGGCCACGUCCACCCAAGCCCUCCUGACAAGGGGCCAUCACAUAAUCUCUCUACGGGGGUUCCCUCCAGCCUUGUCCCAGCCUCUGAUGGGGCCCUUCUCACCUUCAAAGCCAUCACCUGUGGGCUCCUUGGGAGCAAACAUCAUGCCCCUUUCUCUCUGAAUCUCCCUACAUGCCAUAACAUCUACUCUUGGUAAGAUUCUAACUGUGUUUGUUAACGAGAAAAAAUUGUAAUCCCGU